AGAGGUGCAAAACUGUGAGAAGAUAAAAUAUCAGAACUUCACUGAUAGCAGAGGGGCUGAAUGAAGACCUCAGCAUUUUGGAGCUCUUAGGAUGGACAGAAAGGGAUUCUGAAGUUUUCAAUAAAAUGUAUUGAGGAGUAGCUUGUAAUGCAGAAUAGAUAAAAAUCUUACAGCUAUCACAGCGUAAGCGGGUAUUUUACCAUCUGGGGCCAUUGCUGAAUCAGAUGGGUGUCCUGGUGAUGGAAGACACUGUUGUGCUCUGGUCUCCACAGCUCCAGAAAGACAAUGAGAAGGUCUGGUAGAGUCUACAAAGACAACUGGGGUUCAGGAGCAUCUCUGUUAUGAGGAGAUACUGCAGGAGCUGGGCCUGGAGAAGAGAAGACGGAGGAUCUCAUCAAUGCAAAUAUCUCAAAGCAGAAUGAAACUAAGAGAAGAGCAGGAGACACGAUGAGGAACGUGCACACUGUAUUUAGCAGGCCUAAAAGGAGCAACAAGAGCCACACCAGUGAGAAGAGGAACUGCCUCACUCAGGUGGUUUUGGAUCCAGCAUUUGAAGAGGGACUGUUUUGAUACGUCAGCUUUGAAGCACUUCUGUUAUGGUAUAGUUAUGCUGGUUUAUUCUAGCUAAGGCUAUCCUUUGGUGUCUUCUACAUAGAGAUUCUGUACAUGGCAGAGCCUCUUAAUACCAUCAGCAAACAUUUAUUCAAUAUGAAUUAUGUUCUUAAAUGAAACACCAGCAUAUGCAUCAGAUCUGAAGGCCUCCCUCUAACAGAAGUCUGCUUUUCUUAUAGACUGAAUGAGCAGCUCUGUGUUAUAUACUUGUCCGUCCUCAAUACAUAAGAAGUCCAUGUUACUGUCCUAUAUUUUUAAAAGUUCCAACAGCUGCCUUAACUAAUUUGAUAAUAACAAAAAGAAAAGAGAAGAAAAUCUUUGAGGGUAAUAAGCAAAUUUGGAAACACUUCAUAAGCCUGAAUGGUUUUGUAAACUAAAUAUCAUUCACUGAAGGAAGAAAUUACCAUAUCAAAUAAUUCGUGGGACCUCAGACCAGGAACUAAACUGCAAAAGGUGGCAGGAAAUUAUAGUGGGGCACAGAACAUAAUUUUCAACAAAAUUCUGUUUCUCUUUCUUAAUAACAAGUUUCUGGAAGUGAAUGCUCAGUUAGAAAUCAUGUAUUAUUGGAAAUUUAAUCAUAUUGAUACAUGGAAGUUUCACUGUAUUAGUGUCAAAGUGUCAACCUCCCCAAAUUAAUCAGCAUGUGUUAAUGACACAGAUGGUAAAUUCUACCAUCAGAAGCUGAAUUGCCAAUAGUUCACUUUUCCAGAUACAGGGUGAAUUACUUUUUCAUCUAAAGGAAUCCUAAUCUGCAAAUCUUUCUUUUACAUAAAUGCUGUCUGCUAAAAUCUUUUAAAUUUUACCAUGCCUUAUUCAAACGAGAACUAUACUUUAACAAACUUUCUAAAAGCUGAAUUACUUCUAAAUUUCUGAACUAACAUUUUUAAUACACAUAACUAUUGUUAUUCAGUUCUGCUUAUUGUGAUGAUUCUGUCAUUUCUCUUAACUUGAGCUGUGCCCUGCUAUUGGAAAGAGCUUGUCAUAUUUUAUGAAACAGUUAUGGUGAAAAAAUACAUGAAAAGCUGAGAAGAAAGUGUAAAGCAAGAAAGGAACAAGAAGAAAUAUGGAUUAAUGUUGCCUAAUUUUUGAGCAGGUUAUUAAAUAACUGGAACAUAGCAAUUACCUUUAAAAAUGGCUCUGUCUCUAUGUGCAGCUAAGAACAGUCAAGAGAUUUCAUCAGAAUUACUUCCUACACUUAUGUCUCUGAGAAGCACAUACAUGGUUCACAAAAAAAAAAAGAGAUUUUUAAAAUAUCUCAAUGCUAUUUUAUCUUGCUAGCGUCAAAAUCA